rnacentral:rRNA from 1 species
UGCAAGUCGAACGGCAGCACAGUAAGAGCUUGCUCUUAUGGGUGGCGAGUGGCGGACGGGUGAGGAAUACAUCGGAAUCUACUCUUUCGUGGGGGAUAACGUAGGGAAACUUACGCUAAUACCGCAUACGACCUACGGGUGAAAGCGGAGGACCUUCGGGCUUCGCGCGAUUGAAUGAGCCGAUGUCGGAUUAGCUAGUUGGCGGGGUAAAGGCCCACCAAGGCGACGAUCCGUAGCUGGUCUGAGAGGAUGAUCAGCCACACUGGAACUGAGACACGGUCCAGACUCCUACGGGAGGCAGCAGUGGGGAAUAUUGGACAAUGGGCGCAAGCCUGAUCCAGCCAUGCCGCGUGGGUGAAGAAGGCCUUCGGGUUGUAAAGCCCUUUUGUUGGGAAAGAAAAGCAGUCGGUUAAUACCCGAUUGUUCUGACGGUACCCAAAGAAUAAGCACCGGCUAACUUCGUGCCAGCAGCCGCGGUAAUACGAAGGGUGCAAGCGUUACUCGGAAUUACUGGGCGUAAAGCGUGCGUAGGUGGUGGUUUAAGUCUGUUGUGAAAGCCCUGGGCUCAACCUGGGAAUUGCAGUGGAUACUGGGUCACUAGAGUGUGGUAGAGGGUAGCGGAAUUCCCGGUGUAGCAGUGAAAUGCGUAGAGAUCGGGAGGAACAUCCGUGGCGAAGGCGGCUACCUGGACCAACACUGACACUGAGGCACGAAAGCGUGGGGAGCAGACAGGAUUAGAUACCCUGGUAGUCCACGCCCUAAACGAUGCGAACUGGAUGUUGGGUGCAAUUUGGCACGCAGUAUCGAAGCUAACGCGUUAAGUUCGCCGCCUGGGGAGUACGGUCGCAAGACUGAAACUCAAAGGAAUUGACGGGCGCCCGCACAAGCGGUGGAGUAUGUGGUUUAAUUCGAUGCAACGCGAAGAACCUUACCUGGUCUUGACAUCCACGGAACUUUCCAGAGAUGGAUUGUUGCCUUCCGGAACCGUGAGACAGGUGCUGCAUGGCUGUCGUCAGCUCCUGUCGUGAGAUGUUGGGUUAAGUCCCGCAACGAGCG